rnacentral:rRNA from 1 species
UACGUAGGGGGCUAGCGUUGUUCGGAAUUACUGGGCGUAAAGCGCACGUAGGCGGCUUUGUAAGUUAGAGGUGAAAGCCCAGGGCUCAACCCUGGAAUUGCCUUUAAGACUGCAUCGCUUGAACAUCGGAGAGGUAAGUGGAAUUCCGAGUGUAGAGGUGAAAUUCGUAGAUAUUCGGAAGAACACCAGUGGCGAAGGCGACUCACUGGACACAUAUUGACGCUGAGGUGCGAAAGCGUGGGGAGCAAACAGG